rnacentral:rRNA from 1 species
GUCCACGCCCUAAACGAUGGUCACUAGACAUUGGCGAUAUACCGUUCAGUGUCUGAGCGAAAGCGUUAAGUGACCCACCUGGGGAGUACGCUCGCAAGAGUGAAACUCAAAGGAAUUGACGGGGUCCGCACAAGCGGUGGAGCAUGUGGUUUAAUUUCGAUGAUACGCGAGGAACCUUACCUAGGUUAGAAUGCUGCGGGACCGCUCCUGAAAGGGGCGUUUCUCUUCGGAGACCGGUAGCAAGGUGCUGCAUGGCUGUCGU